AUGUUUACUAUGGGAGUGUAUGACCAGUAUUUUUGGCUGUAAUGAUGCGUAAGUCUCACUUUGCUGUGACCUGGCAUUACUAAAUUUGCAAGUGGGGCUGCUAAAAUUGAAUUUUAGGAAACUGGGCAUCAUGGAUAUUCUGACGUUAGCACCUGUUCAGCACAGUACUCUGUUUCACUCAACUUCAAGUGUACUAAGUGUCAGUAAAAUCAGUGUCUUAUAUGUAUGCUCGUACAGUUGUUGAAUUACGAAAUUUUGAACACUUUGGUAAAAAAAGUUGUGCAUAUUAUUAUAUAUUGCAGACUCUCUAUUUUAAUCAGAAGCCUGAAAGUACUGAUUUGCUGUUGAUAAUCAAAUUUUGCUAUUUUUUUUUUUAGCUGGCAAAAAGGUUUUAUGUAUUCGUGGGAUCUCUUUAAGCAGUUCGAACGUUACACGCAUCUUUCUGAAUAUGCAUACUAAGUUUGGUGAGGGAAAACUGGAACUGCAAAGUUAACAGACAGCUUCUGUAGAGCCUCAGUAGGUGGAAUGUCUCACUACGAUUCUUGCUCUGGAGUUAAGAGCCUCUCGUUUUCUUUGUGACGUUUUGGAAGGUGAAAGACAGUUGGACAAAAGCAGCCAGCACAGAACUCAGAUCAAUAUGAAGGAAAGAUAUUAUCAGUCAGAGAAAACUUAUCAGAAGGAGCAACUCAUCAAAAGAGCAGAGAGGGAACCUCUUCUGACAUACUACCUACGUUUACUGGAUGCAAAAAAGAGCAGUCCCUCUGAAAGCCACCAGAGCAACUCUGUCAUUCCACGAUGCACUGACUGCUUGAGGAAAGACAUCCAAGUCCUUCAGGAUUUCAUCAGGAUGCAUGAAUCGCCUCGAGCUGUUGUUGCCCAAGAAGAAGUUUUUAUUGUCAGUGAAGUUUGUAAACCCAUGCCACCAAAGAAACAUAAACUCUCGGAAGCUGUAGACCAAAUGCAAGAACACAGGAGACCACCGGCAAGCGGGGAUUCCCCGCCAGCCCCGAGCGUACGCAGGAAGGAGUCUCUUGGUGGCAGGCCAGUGUCGGAACUUUCAAUCAGAGAGACUGAACAAAGAAAUUCGUAUCAUCUUGCGGAAGGUAAGUGUGACUGUGUGAGUCUGUGCGAGAGACGGAAAGAAAGGAAGAAGCACCAAUACAAUAUUCUGCUGUCAACCGUUGCAGGAUUCUGUACAAAAUUGUCUUUAUGGUUCACGAUGUAA
rnacentral:lncRNA from 1 species